AUGGUUUCUCACCACCGUUCCAGAUCAUUGCGCCGCCAAGCAAGUCUUCUCCAUCCCUCCUUCCGGCGUGCACCGCGAGAAGGGACAGCAGGCCUCCAGAACCCCGCCUCUCGUGAUCCUAUACGGGAGAGGGGCGAUCAGGUUUUUGGGGAGUGCACUCGCGCGACUGCUGGCAGCGACGACUUCACGAACGACGACUUCUUCCCCGACCUCGGCAACCUCGUCCUCGACGACAUGGGCGACAACGUCAACACCGGCGGUGCUGCACCCGCUGCAUCGUAUGUGAUUCUAUCCUUCCUGUUCGAGAUCGUGGUAGAAUUCAUGCUUCUAGUAUGUGCCCUAGAUGUGAUAUGUUCAUCUGCUAUGCUAGUUCGCAUGAUUAGUUUAAUCUCUGCUGCUGUGGUCAUGAUUUAUCUUCUGUUUAUUCGGAUUAAAUCUCGUAGUAAUUUGCUCAUAUUUCCAACAAUCCAAAAACCUGAUUAUAGGCAAUUUACUCCGAGUGGUUUUGCUGCGCAUCUGAAGCCGCCUGCCUUUAAGGGGGCGCAAUAUAAGAGGUGGCGCACGAGAGCAGUCUACUGGUUUCAGACCAUGGGCUGCUAUGAUGCCACCAAGGGCAAGCCUGAGGGCGAUCUUAAUCCAGCACAGCUGGAAGCUUUUGAGAAGAUCGAUACCCUCUUUAAAGGCACUCUUCUGAGUGUUCUUGAUGACUCCAUUGUGGAUUCGUAUAUGUCGUUUCACAACGGCAAGGACAUGUGGGCUGCGCUCGAGGCCAAGUUUGGUGGCUCGGACGCCGGCAGCGAGUUGUACGUCAUGGAGCAAUUCUAUGACUACAAGAUGACUGAUGAGCGCCCUGUUGUACAGCAGGCUCAUGAGAUACAGUCGCUCGCAAAAGAACUUGAGUACUUCAAGUGUGUGUUGCCGGACAAAUUUGUUGCCGGAGGCAUCAUUGCCAAGCUUCCACCUUCGUGGAACAAUUUUGCUACUUCCCUGAAACACAAGAGACAGGAGUUUUCCGUUGCGGAUCUCAUUGGUACUCUUGAUGUUGAAGAGAAGUCGAGAGCAAAGGACACACGUGCUCGAGUUACUGAGGGAGGUUCUAGUGCCCACAUGGUACAGAAGAAGAACUCCCAGCCCAACAAGUUCAAAAACAAUAAGAACAAAACUCAGGGCAAAGACAAGUUUGAUACAAAGAACAAGCCAUCACAUUCUACCAACUUCAAGAAGACUUCUCAUAAGAAGGGGAAGGGACUUUGCCAUGUCUGCGGUGCUCCUAAUCACUGGGCUCCGAAGUGUCCUAACCGCUUUGAGGAGCGCAAACAUGAGAAGAGCGGCAAGUCCGCUAAUGUUGUCAUCGGUGAUACUGAUAUGAAGGAAUCAGGGUACGGUAUUUUUCCUACCAUCAUUUCAGUAUUUCAAUCCCCUGAUUGGUUAAUUGACACCGGUGCCAAUGUACAUGUUUGUGCUGACGCCUCCAUGUUUUCUUCUUACCAGGCAACAGGGACUUCACCCGUGCUGAUGGGGAACGGGUCACAUGCCAUCGUUCGAGGUGUUGGUACGGUCGAUCUGAAGUUUACUUCGGGGAAGACUGUGCGUCUGAAGAACGUUCAUCAUGUGCCGUCCAUCAAUAAAAAUAUCAUUAGCGGUUCCCGUUUAUUUUGA
rnacentral:rRNA from 1 species